UUAUCAUGCGUUUGGCAGUAGCAACUAGGCCUGCGUGACUGCGUCUAAUCUAUUAUCCGCGCGAUUUCCAACAUUUUAUUUUGGCUUACGAGAGCUUGACCUUCGUCGACUCAAGCAGCAGCGGGCCUCCAUCGACUCCAUCAACUGCUUGUGGAUGGUGGGGGGCGGCCGGCUAUGGCAACCGGCGGCCAUCGUCCGUGAGAGCUGGUUGAUGCCGCAACCAUUGGAGACGCCCAAGGAUCAAAUCGUCACCAUCCUGCUACAUCCCCGCUACUCCUCCUUGUGGCAUGAGGACAAGGAGAUCUAGAGUAGAGCAAGCACCUGGUAAAUAAGUAUAGAAACUACAAAGGUAGCGGCGAUCUACAAAAUACAACUAUGGAGCUCGAGGAUGUAACGUUUCAAGUAUUGAAAGAUGUAACAAAUGGUUUCUCCGAGAAACAGAAACUUGGUGAAGGAGCAUAUGGAGUGGUGUACAGGGGACUGACUAAAAAUGGAGAGGAAGUUGCUGUCAAGAAGCUUCGUGAUGUCAAUCCAGAUCUUGAUGAUAAGCAGUUCCAAAAUGAAUUUUAUAACCUCAUGAAGCUGAAACAUAAUAACAUUGUGCAGAUUCUUGGUUAUUGCUAUGAAAUAGAGCAAAUAUCUAUAGAACACAAUGGAAGAAUAGUGCUUGCUGAAAAAACAUACAGAGCACUCUGCUUCGAGUACUUGCACAAUGGGAGCCUUCAAAAGCAUAUUUCUGAUGAGCACUGUGGACUUGACUGGCACACACGUUACAAAAUUAUUAAGGGGAUAUGUGAGGGCCUAAAAUAUAUCCACGAGGAACUGGAAAAACCUCUUUACCACUUGGACCUAAAGCCUGACAACAUACUGCUAGAUAAGGACAUGGUGCCAAAGAUUGCAGAUUUUGGUCUGUCCAAAAUCUUUGGUAAAGAACUGACACGGACAUCACAAAGUCCUCUAGGAACAUGUGGAUACCAGCCACCAGAAUACAUUGAGCGAGGUGAAAUCUCAAAAAAGUUUGACAUAUUCAGUCUGGGUGUCCUAAUGAUAAAGAUAGUAUCAGGACCUGAGGGCUACUCCAAAAGUCAAAACAUGUCUUAUGAUGAGUUUAUUGAUCAAGUACAAAAUAACUGGAGGAACAUGUUGCAGGAAACUUGGAGUGAUUCCUUGCUAGAAGGAUAUUGCCACCAAGUACAGAGAUGCACCCAGAUAGCAUUAAAAUGUUUGGAGAAAGAUAGCCAGAAAAGGCCUGACAUAAUGAUGAUCAUCGAUAUGCUGAAUAAGAUUGAAACAGACACUGUCAAGCUUCCCCAUAAAGGAUGUCACGGAACUGUUCCUAGCAUGACAAUGCUUGAUACGGUGACGAAGAUGAGAACAGAACAACCGGAUAUCACAAAUCAAUACCAGCAUUUCAACUCGAUGAUGACUAGCUCGAGGUGCAAUGACCAGGAAUUUGUUGAUACACGGAAAAAAACAUUAGAUGCAGGUGAAGGACAAAUUGUAGGGAGGACAGAAGAGAAAGAGAAAAUAAUAGCUGCUCUGUGCACGAAGGAAAAGAUCAUCGUCCUUCCAAUAUAUGGUAUUGGAGGCAUUGGCAAGACAACCUUUGCCAAAUUGAUUUACGAGGAUACAAUGUUCAAAUAUUUCUCUCGGGCAUGGGUUUAUGUAUCCCCAAGAUUUGACUUAAAUAAAAUCGGUAACUCCGUGAUUUCACAGCUAUCUGUAAAGGAGAGCAAAACUAAUGAAAAGCAUGAGAUGGAUAACAUCCUCACGAAAAUACUUUCUAACAAGAAGAUUCUGAUAGUUUUAGAUGACCUGUGGGAGGACAAUCCAUUUCAAAUGAAGGAUUUGAAGGCAAUGCUAAGUCUUGGUGAUAAGAAUAAUAUAAUUGUUUUGGUAACCACACGCAGUGAACACAUUGCGAAGAACAUUUGUGUUACUCUUAAACCGUACAAGAUACGACCUUUGACAAAUGACAUGUGCUGGGAUAUAAUAAAACAAAGAAGUCACUUUGAAACUAGAGAUGACAGGGAAGAGUUGAUGGGCAUAGGAAGAGAGAUUGCCCUGAAGUGUGGAGGUGUGGCUUUAGCAGCACAAUCUCUUGGAUACAUGUUGCAGUCCAUGAAAUCUGAUGAAUGGGAAAAAGUGAAAGAAAAUGAUAUCUGGAAUGAAUAUAUUUCAAAGGAUGGCUCUUCACCAAAUCAUGUUCUUGCAUCAUUGAAGCUAAGUUAUAGCAGUAUGGGUCCAUGCUUGACAUCAUGCUUUACCUAUUGUGCAGUAUUUCCAAAAGGCCAUAAGAUAGUUAAAGAUGAUCUGAUUCACCAAUGGAUUUCUUUGGGUUUCAUCAAGCCCAAAAAAAUACUCUCUCCUACACAGCUAUGUGAGAAGUAUAUUGUGCAGCUCCUGGGAUUAUCAUUCCUUCAACAUUCUGUGUUACCCACUACCCUUCGAGCCUAUAACAAUGGCUUUACAUUAUACAAAGGAGUCACAGUGUUCACCAUGCAUGACCUGGUGCAUGACAUGGCAAGAUUAGACAUGGCCGAUGAAAUUCUGGAUGGUAGCAAACAAGGCAUUACUGUGGAAAGCACUGGUCGAUAUGUAUUGCUAACUGAUUGUAGUAAGCCUCUGAAAUCGUCAACAUGUUUUACUAAUAAGAUUAGGGCCCUGCGUUUUCUUGACUGUAGCCAAAUUGAGCUACACGGCGAUGCAUUUUCAUCUGCAACAUCCCUACAAGUCCUGGAUUUAAGCGAGUGCUGCAUAUACCAGUUGCCAGCUUGCAUAAGUGAAUUGGUGAAAUUGAGGUAUCUCAAUGCCCCCAAGAUUCAAAGUCAAACGAUCCCGUAUUGUAUCACCAAGCUCUCGAAACUAAUUUACCUCAACCUGAGUAAGUCCAGGAUGUUAGCGUUACCUGAGUCAAUUGGUGACUUGAGAUGUCUGAUGUAUCUUGACAUCUCAAAUUGUGACUUUAUAGAUAACCUCCCAAAAUCAUUUGUGAAUCUCAAAAGGUUGGAAUAUCUGGAUUUAUCAAACAACAAUAAGCUUAGAGGUGUAUCGAAAGCUUUGGGUGGCCUCACCAACAUCCAAUACUUGAAUUUAUCAAUGAGAAAAGGUUAUGUAUGGGAUCAAUUUCUUGAGGGGCUGCCAGAGGUCAUUGGUAAUCUAAUUGGACUCCGUUAUUUAGGUCUAUCACAUACCACACGAUCCAUCUUCUGGAAUCCGAGCUCAGAUGAACUAUUCAGUUUCAUUGACCGCAUAUGUACCCUUUCUAAUCUGCAGCAUCUGGACUUGUCUAAUAAUGAUAGUAUAGUAAGUGUUCCUGAGAGUAUUGGCAACCUCAGGAAUCUGCAUACACUGGACCUCUCUUGCUGUUCACAUCUAGUUAGGCUUCCAGAAUGUUUGGUUAGAAUGGAUAAUGUGAAGAUCUUGAAUGUCACCGGGUGCCGCAAACUGGAAAAAUCUGCACUGUCCCGAUCAAAGAUUUUUGACUUGUUGCCGCAUUUCGUGGUCCAAGCUGAUGAAGGUGAAUCUAGCAGCAACAUCGGUCUUCUACAGUACGCAAAUCCUAAUGAGUUGCACAUAACUUGCCUUGAUAAUGUAAAGUCUGCAGAAGAGGUCCAGAGUAUAAAGCUGAUAGAAAAACAGGGGAUUAAUGAUUUGAAACUUCAAUGGACCAGUGAUGCUUGCAGGUCUGUUGAGGAUAUGGAAGUGAUGGCAAGUCUUGUGCCACCAAGCACCUUGAGGGAAUUUAAUAUGACAGGCUACAAUAGUGUGAGCUUUCCGCCCUGGCUUAUGAACAUAAAGCUUUAUCUACCGGAACUUAGCAAGAUUGAACUGUGGCAUAUAUGUAAAUGCAACAGCUUGCCUGCAUUAGGUCAAUUACAAAACCUUAGAGAGCUAAUUAUUGGAGAAAUGGACAGCAUUACGAUCAUCGAAGAGGAUUUUUGUGGUGGUGCAAGGGCCUUCCCUCAGCUGAAGAGAUUUUGUCUAUACCACAUGGAAAAUCUGGAAGCAUGGAAGACGAUGUACUCCAAUGGCAAGGAUGUUGAGAAAGAAUUCAUGUUCCCUAACCUUAAGGAGCUGUCAAUAAAUGAUUGCCCAAAGUUGAGAAUGGAACCAUGCCUUCCUAGAGCAAAGAAAUGGGAGAUAGAGAACAGCAAUAAUGUAUUAUCAUUAUGGGGAGAAACUCGUGCUACCUCCUCUGUUGCACCUAUGGAUGUGAGUGUAACAGUCAGAUCUGACAAAGCGCCUUUGGAUCAGUGGAAGUUCUUUCACGACCUCCCUUCCCUGAGUACUUUACACAUCAAAUGUUGCACUGAUCGGACAUGCAGCUCCAAUAUGCUAAGCCAAUUCCUGUUCAACAUCAUGUCACGGUGGUUCACAAAUUCUAAUGAUUUGUACAUAACUAAGCUGAUGAAAAGACAAGUUAUUAACGAUUUGAAACUACAGUGGACUAGAAAUGCUGGUGGUUCUGUGGAGGAUGUGGAAGUACUGGGAAAGCUUGUACCACCAAGUAGUUUGAGGGAAUUUAAUAUGACAGGUUACAGCAGUAUGAGGUUUCCUGCCUGGGUUAUGGACAUUACGCUUUAUCUCCCAAGUCUUAGCAAGAUUGAAUUGUGGGAUAUACGCAAAUGCAACAGCUUACCACCACUUGGCCAAUUAACAAACUUGCAAGAGCUAGUUAUAGGUGUAAUGGAUAGCAUUACGACAAUUGAUGGGGAUUUCUGUGGCGGUGAAAGAGCCUUCCCUGAAUUGAGGAAAUUUUGCUUAUGCCGUAUGGGAAACCUCAAGUUGUGGGAGACAAUGUACUCCUAUGACAUGGGUAGUGUGAAGAAAUUCAUGUUCCCAAACCUUGUGGAAUUGUUAAUACGUGAUUGCCCAAAUUUAAGAUUGAAACCAUGCCCACCUAGAGCUAAGAGAUGGGAAAUUGAGAGCAGCGAUAAUGUAUUAUCAUCAUGGGGAGAGAAUCUGUCAUGCAACUCAUUAGACAUAAUUGGAGACCUCUCGUUUAUCAAAUCAUUGUUGCUAGAAGAUAAUACUCAGCCAGAACAUCCGAAAUGGUUGGGUGGCCUCAGCUCUAUCCGGAAAAUGGACAUCACAAGGUGUAAAGAGCUGUCUGAUUUGCCUGGGAGCAUGCGAUAUCUGACAUCCCUCCAGGAGCUUUCUUUGAUAGAUUGUCCAAGAAUAAAAGUGCUGCCAGAAUGGUUGGGUGAUCUUACUGCUCUGAAGAAACUUCAGAUCCGGUAUUGUAGGGGUAUCAACUCUUUGCCACAGAGCAUACAGAAGCUUACCAAGCUUAAAGGACUAGCUAUUUACCACUGCCUUGAAUUGGUAGAGUGGUGUAAUUUAGAGAAGAACAAGAACAUGCUGGCUCACAUAAAAGUAAAGGUAUAUGUCCCGCCAUGCUAUCUGCCAUGUCCUACUUAUCUUGACAGUAGCCAAAUUAAACUACACGGUGAUGCAUUUUCAUCUGCAACAUCCCUACAAGUCUUGGAUUUAAGCAAGUGCCACAUAUACAAGUUGCCAGCUUGCAUCAGUGAAUUGGUGAAAUUGAGGUAUCUCAAUGCCCCCAAGAUUCAAAGUCAAACAAUCCCGUAUUGUAUCACCAAGCUCUCGAAACUAAUUUACCUCAACCUAAGUUGGUCCAGGAUGUUAGCAUUGCCUGAGUCAAUUGGUGACUUGAGAUGUUUGAUGCAUCUUGACAUCUCGAAUUGUGAAUUUAUAGAUAACCUCCCAAAAUCAUUUGUGAAUCUCAAAAGGUUGGAAUAUCUGGAUUUAUCAAACAACAGUCAGCUUAGAGGUCUAUCAAAAGCUUUGGGUGGCCUAACCAACAUCCAAUACUUGAAUUUAUCAAUGCAAAUAGGUUAUGUAUUGGGUCAAUUUCUUGAGGGGCUGCCAGAGGUCAUUGGUAAUCUAAUUGGACUCCGUUAUUUAGGUCUAUCACAUACCACACGAUCCAUCUUCUGGAAUUCGAGCUCAGAUGAACUAUUCAGUUUCAUUGACCGUAUAUGUACCCUUUCUAAUCUGCAGCAUCUGGACUUGUCUAAUAAUGAUAGUAUAGUAAGUGUUCCUGAGAGUAUUGGCAACCUCAGGAAUCUGCAUACACUGGACCUCUCUUGCUGUUCACAUCUAGUGAGGCUUCCAGAAUGUUUGGUUAGAAUGGAUAAUGUGAAGAUCUUGAAUGUCACCGGGUGCCGCAAACUGGAAAAAUCUGCACUGUCCCGAUCAAAGAUUUUUGACUUGUUGCCACAUUUCGUGGUCCAAGCUGAUGAAGGUGAAUCUAGCAGCAACAUCGGUCUUCUACAGUACGCAAAUCCUAAUGAGUUGCACAUAACUUGCCUUGAUAAUGUAAAGUCUGCAGAAGAGGUCCAGAGUAUAAAGCUGAUAGAAAAACAAGGGAUUAAUGAUUUGAAACUUCAAUGGACCAGUGAUGCUUGCAGGUCUGUUGAGGAUAUGGAAGUGAUGGCAAGUCUUGUGCCACCAAGCACCUUGAGGGAAUUUAAUAUGACAGGCUACAAUAAUGUGAGCUUUCCGCCCUGGCUUAUGAACAUAAAGCUUUAUCUACCGGAACUUAGCAAGAUUGAACUGUGGCAUAUAUGUAAAUGCAACAGCUUGCCUGCAUUAGGUCAAUUACAAAACCUUAGAGAGCUAAUUAUUGGAGAAAUGGACAGCAUUACGAUCAUCGAAGAGGAUUUUUGUGGUGGUGCAAGGGCCUUCCCUCAGCUGAAGAGAUUUUGUCUAUACCACAUGGAAAAUCUGGAAGCAUGGAAGACGAUGUACUCCAAUGGCAAGGAUGUUGAGAAAGAAUUCAUGUUCCCUAACCUUAAGGAGCUGUCAAUAAAUGAUUGCCCAAAGUUGAGAAUGGAACCAUGCCUUCCUAGAGCAAAGAAAUGGGAGAUAGAGAACAGCAAUAAUGUAUUAUCAUUAUGGGGAGAAACUCGUGCUACCUCCUCUGUUGCACCUAUGGAUGUGAGUGUAACAGUCAGAUCUGACAAAGCGCCUUUGGAUCAGUGGAAGUUCUUUCACGACCUCCCUUCCCUGAGUACUUUACACAUCACAUGUUGCACUGAUCCGACAUGCAGCUCCAAUAUGCUAAGCCAAUUCCUGUUCAACAUCAUGUCACGGUGGUACACAAAUUCUAAUGAUUUGUACAUAACUAAUCUGAUGAAAAGACAAGUUAUCAACGAUUUGAAACUACAGUGGACUAGAGAUGCUGGGCGUUCUGUGGAGGAUGUGGAAGUACUGGGAAAGCUUGUGCCACCAAGUAGUUUGAGGGAAUUUAAUAUGACAGGUUACAACAGUGUGAGGUUUCCUGCCUGGGUUAUGGACAUUACGCUUUAUCUCCCAAGUCUUAGCAAGAUUGAAUUGUGGGAUAUACGCAAAUGCAACAGCUUACCACCACUUGGCCAAUUAACAAACUUGCAAGAGCUAGUUAUAGGUGUAAUGGAUAGCAUUACGACAAUUGAUGGGGAUUUUUGUGGCGGUGCAAGAGCCUUCCCUGAAUUGAGGAAAUUUUGCUUAUGCCGUAUGGGAAACCUCAAGUUGUGGGAGACAAUGUACUCCUAUGACAUGGGUAGUGUGAAGAAAUUCAUGUUCCCAAACCUUGUGGAAUUGUUAAUACGUGAUUGCCCAAAUUUAAGACUGAAACCAUGCCCACCUAGAGCUAAAAGAUUGGAAAUAGAGAGCAGCGAUAAUGUAUUAUCAUCGUGGGGAGAGUGGGGAGCAUCCAGUGUGUCCUCUGUUUCACUAACAAACGUGAUGGUGACAGUGAAAUCAAGCAAGGUGCCUUUGGUUCAGUGGAUGUUGUUUCACCACCUCCGUGCCAUCACUGAGUUAAGGAUAAUAAGUUGUACCGAUCUGUCAUGCAACUCAUUAGACAUAAUUGGAGACCUCUCAUUUAUCAAAUCAUUGUGGCUAGAAGAUAAUACUCAGCCAGAACUUCCGAAAUGGUUGGGUGACCUCAGCUCUAUCCGGAAAAUGGACAUCACAGGGUGUAAAGAGCUGUCUGAUUUGCAAGGGAGCAUGCGACAUCUGACAUCCCUCCAGGAGCUAUCUUUCAUAGAUUGUCCAAGAAUAAAAGUGCUGCCAGAAUGGUUGGGUGACCUUACUGCUCUCAAGAAACUUGAGAUCCGGUAUUGUAGGGGUAUCAACUCUUUGCCACAGAGCAUACAGAAGCUUACCAAACUUAAAGUACUAACUAUUUACCACUGCCCUGAAUUGGCAAAGUGGUGUAAAAUAGAGAAGAACAAGAAGAUGCUGGCUCACAUUCAAGUAAAGUAUAUCUUUCUGAUGAAUGAUCACCUCGUACAAAGAGUGAAGCUCCAUGGAAAACGAAUUAAGCGGUCAUGUGGAAGAACUAUUUGAUUAUAAUAUUUGUUCCAAAGCAUGUGUUGCAUCUACAUUUCUCGCAGCAUGGUCAAUUAGUUCAGUCUUGAUUCAGAGGUACAAUUUCUGAAGAGGGAAAAGUUUAUUUCAUGAUGUACCUUUGUACUUGACUAGUGACUACCCCAUUGUAUCAUUUGGAAGAAGAACUUCAGACUUCAACUGGCCGAGGAACAUCAUCUUGUCCUCAAGAUCCAUCCACCUGGUGUAGGGAUGGAGUUACAUUGUUGGCACUAGCUCCGCCCACCUCCCACCAGCCAUCAUCCAAGAGGGUCUUACUUGAAACCAAUGGUGAAUAGGUUCCUGCUUUUGAUGUUUAUUUGACACCAUGUACACCAGCGGGGAGCUGUGUUGCUUGGCAACCUGAAAGGUGUCCUACAAACAAUCACCAUCAUAUCUGAUGAAGAAAAGGAUCAAGUACGUAAGCUUGGGGCGGGAAAGCUACUGUUUCUAUUACUGUCAAUGCCAUAGAGAGUGGGGCCGUACAUUGCUUUAUACUAGAUGAGAUUGGUGUAGUCUACCGGAUGCUAUUGAUGCCCCUAGCACUGUCCUACCAAUUAUCAAAUACCCCCGCCAUCCCAAA